rnacentral:rRNA from 1 species
UGGGGAAUAUUGCACAAUGGGCGAAAGCCUGAUGCAGCAACGCCGCGUGAGGGACGACGGCCUUCGGGUUGUAAACCUCUUUAGCAAGGAAGAAGCGAAAGUGACGGUACUUGCAGAAAAAGCGCCGGCUAACUACGUGCCAGCAGCCGCGGUAAUACGUAGGGCGCAAGCGUUAUCCGGAAUUAUUGGGCGUAAAGAGCUCGUAGGCGGUUUGUCGCGUCUGCUGUGAAAACCCGAGGCUCAACCUCGGGCCUGCAGUGGGUACGGGCAGACUAGAGUGCGGUAGGGGAGAUUGGAACUCCUGGUGUAGCGGUGGAAUGCGCAGAUAUCAGGAAGAACACCGAUGGCGAAGGCAGAUCUCUGGGCCGUAACUGACGCUGAGGAGCGAAAGGGUGGGGAGCAAAACAGGCUUAGAUACCCUGGUAGUCCACCCGUAAACGUUGGGAACUAGUUGUGGGUCCAUUUCACGGAUUCCGUGACGCAGCUAACGCAUUAAGUUCCCCGCCUGGGGAGUACGGCCGCAAGGCUAAAACUGCAAAGGAAUUGACGGGGUCAUAGCUG